GUGUCAGCCGCCGCGGUAAAACGUAGGACACAAGCGUUAUCCGGAAUUACUGGGCGUAAAGGGCGUGCAGGCGGUUGGGUAAGUUAGGCGUGAAAGACUUCGGCUAAACCGGGGGAGGUCGUCUGAUACUGCUCAACUUGAGUAUGGUAGAGGCGUGUAGAAUUCCGGGUGUAGUGGUGAAAUGCGUAGAGAUCCGGAGGAAUACCAGUGGCGAAGGCGGCACGCUGGGCCAUAACUGACGCUAAGACGCGAAAGCAUGGGUAGCGAACGGGAUUAGAAACCCCCGUAGUCC
rnacentral:rRNA from 1 species